AACAAUAACACAAAGCACUGCGCAUGCUCCAGCUCACAGUGAAGUCCGGCUGAUUGAUGUCAGUGCGCGACCAAUAGGAGCACAGGUGUGCCGUGCAUGACCGGACGGAUGUCGCCCAAUCGGAAUGAAGGGAGGGCGGGAUCAGUGAAAACCACGUGAUCAUCCACGAGUGCGGUGCAGAGUCGCUGAGAUAACCGGAACUGCAGAUGCUGGAGAAUCCGAGAUAACACGGUGUGCAGCUGGAUGUACACAGCAGGAAAGCUGACGUUUCGGGCCUAGAUCCUUCGCUGAGACCAAGAUUUGUGCAAUUGAGUUCAGUCAGGAAACUUAAGACAGUGUCUGCAUGCCGAUGUGUGAGAAGAUAAGGAGUUACAAAAGCUUUACACUGAAUUCCUAGCUGGGCAGGAAGCUUCAGGGCAGUGUCUGCAUACCGAUAUACCAGCGAUCGUUGCCAAAGCCCUGUUACCUGUGGAGAAGGUGAUGUUUAACUUUCGUGUGCUACUGCAGUUUGUAUGAUAAAGGUGCUCUCACAAUGCUCCAUUUGAGAAGUUACAGAUCAUUCAUCUAGCGAUACUGAAGAGCUACUGAAGAGCUAAUGGUGAUAUUACAAGUGGACUUUCAGGUAGGAAGCUCAAUAAUUGUAACACCAAACUCUGACAGAAUUACUCAAUUCAUCAGGACCUGGAUAUUCGCAUUGUGUAUUCCCACAAUUUUACUUCUGCACUAUUCUUAGUCUUUCAGAGGGAUCGAAAGGUUGAGUUACAGAUCUAUACAAUGACUGUCCUUCCUCGCUGGCUUCCCCCACCUCUCUUUUGGUAGUUUUAUGCAAACACUGACUGGAUCCCUUACCUGGAGGAUAUUUAUGAAUGAAUUUGUUCUAAUGGUGAUCCAGCAUUUUCCCCAAGUAUCGCUCCACACAUGCCCAGAGAAUUUCUCAGUUUCACAAUCUGUGUCCUUCUGGUUUCUUACUCGCUACACUUAACUUUCUGUUUGAAAGUAUAGUCUGCAGUUGGAGAAUUUUAACAGGUCCACAUCCAGGUCUGACGGUCACUUUGUUUAUCACAACCCAAUUAUCUCAGGGUUUUGAACAUUGAAGGAAAACGCAGCACUCACAUUGGGGAGAAAUGCACAUGGUGUGUGUGUUGAAGAGUCUGUGAAGAUUCAUCUGAAAUGUCCGAACACCAGUGCAGUGACACUGGGAGACAGUGUGGAAAUGUGCAGAUUGCAGGAAGGAAUUUCUUCAUCCAUCCCAGCUAGAAACUGACCACCAGAGUCACACUGGAGAGAGACCAUUGGCCUGUUCUGCAUGAGGGAAAGGCUUUGCUGAUUCGAAUUCCCCGCUGAUACACCAGCGAGUUCACUCUGGGGAGAGACCUUUCAUGAGCUCUGAGUGUGGGAAGGGAUUCAUUGUCAUCCAAACUGUUAACACACCAGCGAGUUCACAGACAACCACAGUUGAAGAACUUUGCUGUCACUCUCACUAUCAAAUGAACCAUGGUUUUGGGCUGUUUGUACAGAUGUUACCGACCCCUGCUCAAUUAAAGGUGCUGGUAUUGUGAAUAAAAUGUCACACUAACAGUUGUGUAAGGUA